rnacentral:tRNA from 1 species
UUCAGGAUGGCCGAAUGGUUAUGGCAUCGGGCUUCUAAUCCGAUUGACUGCUAGGUCUGUAGGUUCGAUUCCUGCUCCUGGAA